UCCACUGGGGAAAAGAGAAGUGUCUCUUGGAUCACAUUUAUAUCUGAAAAUAAAUUUGUGAUGGAACAAAGCUAUCGGUUUCUGUAAUUCUACAAUGGAAAAAGCAUUUGAAUCUUUCCUGGACUCUCAGAACAUUUCACGAACAUUACUUCAUUUGUGCUUCCUUAUCCGUUGAGUUAGGGGAAGGCUGUUAAGACCAUACAUGGAGUAAAGGAGAGACAGAUCAUGAAUAAGAUUCGUAAGAAUUAUAGUGUUUAGAGCACCAGCUGGAAACAUUAUCACGCUGGUUAUCUCACACAGUAAAUAUUAGCGCACACAGAAAUUCACCCACAGCUUAAUGCACUAGUUCUAGAAGCAAAAAAGAAGCUGAGACUUGAGUUACUGGAGAUGUGCGAGUCCUGGAGCUUCAUUUCCACAGCUCAGAU
rnacentral:lncRNA from 1 species